rnacentral:rRNA from 1 species
GAGGGAUCAUUACCGAGUUUUACAACUCCCAAACCCCCUGUGAACAUACCACUUGUUGCCUCGCGGAUCAGCCCGCUCCCGGUAAAACGGGACGGCCCGCCAGAGGACCCCUAAACUCUGUUUCUAUAUGUAACUUCUGAGUAAAACCAUAAAUAAAUCAAAACUUUCAACAACGGAUCUCUUGGUUCUGGCAUCGAUGAAGAACGCAGCAAAAUGCGAUAAGUAAUGUGAAUUGCAGAAUUCAGUGAAUCAUCGAAUCUUUGAACGCACAUUGCGCCCGCCAGUAUUCUGGCGGGCAUGCCUGUUCGAGCGUCAUUUCAACCCUCAAGCACAGCUUGGUGUUGGGACUCGCGUUAAUUCGCGUUCCUCAAAUUGAUUGGCGGUCACGUCGAGCUUCCAUAGCGUAGUAGUAAAACCCUCGUUACUGGUAAUCGUCGCGGCCACGCCGUUAAACCCCAACUUCUGAAUGUGACCUCGGAUCACGUGUCACG